UAAAGGUGUUCGCAACUAGCCUACCUGGUUAAAUAAAGGUGUUCUCAACUAGCCUACCUGGUUAAAUAAAGGUGUUCUCAACUAGCCUACCUGGUUAAAUAAAGGUGUUCUCAACUAGCCUACCUGGUUAAAUAAAGGUGUUCUCAACUGGCCUACCUGGUUAAAUAAAGGUGUUCUCAACUUGCCUACCUGGUUAAAUAAAGGUGUUCUCAACUUGCCUAUCUGGUUAAAUAAAGGUGUUCUCAACUGGCCUACCUGGUUAAAUAAAGGUGUUCUCAACUUGUCUACCUGGUUAAAUAAAGGUGUUCUCAACUAGCCUACCUGGUUAAAUAAAGGUGUUCUCAACUAGCCUACCUGGUUAAAUAAAGGUGUUCUCAACUGGCCUACCUGGUUAAAUAAAGGUGUUCUCAACUUGCCUACCUGGUUAAAUAAAGGUGUUCUCAACUUGCCUACCUGGUUAAAUAAAGGUGUUCUCAACUGGCCUACCUGGUUAAAUAAAGGUGUUCUCAACUUGCCUACCUGGUUAAAUAAAGGUGUUCUCAACUAGCCUACCUGGUUAAAUAAAGGUGUUCUCAACUAGCCUACCUGGUUAAAUAAAGGUGUUCUCAACUGGCCUACCUGGUUAAAUAAAGGUGUUCUCAACUGGCCUACCUGGUUAAAUAAAGGUGUUCUAAACUGGCCUACCUGGUUAAAUAAAGGUG